rnacentral:rRNA from 1 species
UACGAAGGGUGCAAGCGUUACUCGGAAUUACUGGGCGUAAAGCGUGCGUAGGUGGUUUGUUAAGUCUGAUGUGAAAGCCCUGGGCUCAACCUGGGAAUUGCAUUGGAUACUGGCAGGCUAGAGUGCGGUAGAGGAUGGCGGAAUUCCCGGUGUAGCAGUGAAAUGCGUAGAGAUCGGGAGGAACAUCUGUGGCGAAGGCGGCCCCCUGGGCCGGCCCUGACACUGAGACGCGAAGGCGUGGGGAGCGAACGGG